CGCGUGGUGUUCGGCAAUAGUGACCGUAUAGCGACGCGACAUAGAGAGGC
rfam:Pragia fontium strain 24613, complete genome.